rnacentral:rRNA from 1 species
UUCCAGACUCCUACGGGAGGCAGCAGUGGGGAAUAUUGCACAAUGGGGGGAACCCUGAUGCAGCGACGCCGCGUGGGUGAAGGAGCACCUCGGUGCGUAAAGCCCUAUCGGCAGGGAAGAAAAGCGAACAGGUUCGCCUGGACGGUACCUGACUAAGAAGCCCCGGCUAACUACGGGCCAGCAGCCGCGGUAAUACGUAGGGGGCAAGCGUUAUCCGGAUUUACUGGGUGUAAAGGGAGCGUAGACGGCUGUGCAAGCCAGAUGUGAAAGCCCGGGGCUCAACCCCGGGACUGCAUUUGGAACUGCGUGGCUUGAGUGUCGGAGAGGCAGGCGGAAUUCCUAGUGUAGCGGUGAAAUGCGUAGAUAUUAGGAGGAACACCAGUGGCGAAGGCGGCCUGCUGGACGAUGACUGACGUUGAGGCUCGAAAGCGUGGGGAGCAAACAGGAUUAGAUACCCGCGUACA